UACGUAGGGGGCGAGCGUUGUCCGGAUUUAUUGGGCGUAAAGAGCUCGUAGGCGGCUUGGCAAGUCGGGUGUGAAACCUCCAGGCUUAACCUGGAGACGCCACUCGAUACUGCCAUGGCUAGAGUCCGGUAGGGGACCACGGAAUUCCUGGUGUAGCGGUGAAAUGCGUAGAGAUCCGGAAGAACACCGGUGGCGAAGGCGGUGAGCUGGGCAGUAGCUGACACUGAGGCGCGACAGCGUGGGGAGCAAACAGG
rnacentral:rRNA from 1 species